CAUAGCCUAUCGAAGGGAAGAUGGCUGUGAAACUCUUUAGAAUAACAAAAUUAACAAAUGAAUAUAACUCAUUAUCUAUGUUGGUCAACGUUUAUUCAUAAAUUUGGUCCUUUCACCGUCACGUGUGUAUUGUAUUUUUGCCAAAUCCACCAAUAGCAAUGUUUAGGAAAGUCACCUAUCCGUGACUCGAACAAUAGGGAAAAUGGAAAUGGACUUACGCUUUAGCAAAAUUUUUAAUCUGGGAAUAACAAAGGAUAUUUUCUGAAAGAAGUUAUCAAAAUUAGAAAAACUGCAAAGUUUGGUUGCGAAAUGUUGUAAAAUACGGAAAAUAUAGCCCUGCGAAGUUGGCAAAUUUGUAUACAUUUCUAUUACGUGCGGAAAUUGGUAACUAAUUUAGUUACCAAUUCACGUACGUAAUACAAAAGUAUACAAAUUUGCCAACUUUGAAGGGCUAUAUUUUCCGUAUUUUUACAACAUUUCGCAACCAAACUUUGUAAUAUUACUAAUUCCAAGACGCUCUUUCCAGCUGUGGUGAUAGAUUUCGUUGUUCUUACUUCGAUUAAAAUUUAGUCUAAAGCGCAAGUCGUCCAUUGCUAUUGGUGGAUUUGGUAAAAGUACAAUAGACACGUGACGGCGAAAGGACCAGAUUUAUGAAUAAACGUUGACUAACAUAGAUACUGAGUUAUAUUGUUAUUCUAAUGAGUUUCACAGCCAUCUUUCCUUCGAUAGGCUAUGGUUUAAGCACAGAAUAGGAAGGUAUAGCAGAAGCGUAACUCAAGCAAGUAUUUGUCCGCGUUUUUACAAGCGAUUCGUCAUCAAUCACGCCAUCCUGGCUAGUACAACCGGCACUUUGUACCUACCAAAACCUGAUAAAAACUUCCGGUUGUACUAGCCAGGAUGGCGUGAGCGAGUUAAAAUUUUCGUGGACGUAAAACAAUAAGGGAAACGAGUAGAGUUACGCUUCUGCUAUAACUUCUUAUUCUGUGGUUUAAGCAAGUAACGUUUUCGUCAACACAGACGUCGCCCAAAAAUUGGUAGAACUAAUUUUGGCGGCAUUUUGCGUCAUAGCGCUCGUGUAAAGAAGCAAAAAGUUUAAAAGUCUUCUGUUUUGUCAUAUGUGUUGAAGAUUGCCACAGACUGCGUCCUUCCUAAUGCAGCACUCGGCUGUAGGGAAAGAUUACAGGUAAACUACGUGAAGCGUUCCUCUUUUGACUUCGUAACUCAUUUGGAAUUUUCCUCAUUAGCUUCGCAAAUUUGAAAAACUCUUUGCAAAUCCCUUGAGGGAAUUUGCAAUGUUCCUAUCGGCUGUUGCAAUAUUCCAAACUUCAUUUUAAAUUUUCCUAACUUCCUGUUUUAAUUUCCUAACUUCCUGUUCUGUUCUGAGCGUUGUUAUUGGUCGAUUAUUUUUGUUAGCCAAUUGCAAUGCCCAAAACAGAACAGGAAGUUAGAAACUUGUAACAGGAAGUCAAGAACUUCUAACAGGAACUGAGGAACAUUUUUUUGGCUUUUAGCAACAUUGCAAAUUCCCUCAAGGGAUUUGCAAGGGAGUUUUUUAAAUUGCAAAAGUAAUGAGGAAAAUUGCAAUCAAUUUAGAAACUCAAAAGAGGAACGCUUCACGUGGUUUACCUGUAAUAUAGCAUCUCUUCAUCUUUAAAAUUGGGAAAACGUACAAGCGAUAUACUGCUGAUUCAAAAAACGUUUAAUUUGAUUGGCUUUAAGCUUGCUUUAAAUGCUUGUUGACACAAAGCCACUUGUGUUUGUGGCAGUAAAAAAGUUAAAAUUAAAAACAAAAUGAAGCGAAAAAAAUUUAAAUUCAUCCAAUGAAUUUAUCAUCUGACUUGGUUAGGACUGAGAUGUAAACCAGACUUGUCAUGCUAUGCUAAGGGGGCGGACCAUUAGAAAAGUGAUGGGGGGGGGGAGCGAAAAUAAAAAUCAUGCAGGGGAAACAGAAAGAAAAAACCGUGCACCAAGAAAAUUUAAAAAAAUUCAUGCAGGAAAAUUAUAAGUUGAAAUAAAAAAAAAAUUCGUGCACCAAGAAAGUUUGAAAAAAAAUUCGUGCAGAGAUAAAAUAAAAAAAUUCGUGCAAGGAAUUAUAUUUUAAAAAAUUAUCGACACAAGCAAAAAAUGUAAAAAAAUAUUCGUACAAGUUGGAAAAAGUCCCCCCCCCCCCUCCAUCACUUUUCUAAUGGUCCGCGCCAGACAUACCUGCAUCUCGAUGGGUUAAAGUUACAUUUCUAAAUGUUUGAAUAAUGCGAAUCAGUAAACAUUUGCAUAGCAUGACCUAUUGCUAUGGCUAGGCACGGAUAUAAACUGCUGCUGUGGCCUGACAUAUAGAUUAAAAAAACCUUUUGAGCGGAGGCGACAUUUGAGGUAACUUUAGGCUGAUUAGCCUGAUUAUUUCAUAUUUCAUUUGAAGAAAACAGUAUUUUAAUCUAUGAAGUCAUGGGCUUGCAUUACGGAUCCAGACAUUUCAAAGUCGAGUGCAAGGAGGGAGAGGUAGAGGGAGGUAGAGGGAGGUAGAGGGGAAGAGAGAAAGAGGGAGAGGUAGAUGGAGGAAGAGAGGUAGAGGGAAGAAGAGGGGGAGAGAGAAAGAGGGAGAGGGGGAGGAAGAGGGGGAGAGAGGGAGAGGUAGAGGGAGCAAGAGGUGGAGAGAGAAAGAGGGAGAGGAGGGUCGAGAGAGAGAGAUUUAAUAUAAUGAUCUUGUAAUGUCAUCAAUCGAUUAUAUAAUUAGUUGUUAAUUUUUAGACAUAAUCAAAUUGUUGUAUGAUUUAAAUAUAAUAGAUAUUUGUUAAAAACAAUAUCAGCAUGUAUCGGUAUAAUUUUGAUAUAAUUUUAAGAAUUUUAAUGUAAAAGCUGGUUUUACACUAAAAAAAUUUGUAUGAUCACAGUAGCGUCACCCAAUUUGACUCCAAGACGUUUGAAUUAAAGUUGUCUUGAAGAGGUUUACCGACUAGCUGUUAUAUAUUUUGAUCAAGUUAUACUUUCAAUACAGAAACUGUAGAGUAUAUACCAGCGUAAUUAAUAUAACUAUUUCAUGAAAUAGACAAAAUUCACAUACAUCUUAGGGGCAGGCCAUUCGAAUCACAGUGAUGGGAGGAGGGACAAAAAAAUUCGCGCAAAGGGAAACAAAAAAAAUCGUUCGAAGAGGAAAACAAAGAAAAUUACCAUUCAUUUCCGCCAAAACGUUCUAGCACAAGCAGACGGCCGAGAAAAAGAAUUAUUCAUCGUGCAAGCUGAAACCCAUCCCCCCCCCCCGUCCCUCAUCACUUUUCUAAUGGUCAAUCUCUCAUGAAAAUGUUAUCUAAUAAUGUAUCCAAUUAUAUAAGUAAUUUGCAUGUUUACUAUUAAAUAAAAGUUUUUUUUGCAUGUAUUCAUAAUUUAUUGGUUAAUUGUUGUAGUCUGUCUUUAUUGGGAUUUUGCCGAGUACUGCCUUCGCAUGGGGUGGCAGCGAAGAGAAUGUUUUUCUUGAUAAAAAUUUUGCUGACCUCAGAUAUGAAAUAAAAAAUAACUACCCACCCCUGGCCGAAAACUUUACAACAGGAUACCAUUCAGUUGUCACACAUGUCCUUUACAACUUCUGUGACACGAGUUUGAUAACUGCUUGUGUAAUCUUCUGCAGUCUAAAAUUCCAUGUCUGCAAUUUGGAGACGCAAACCCCACCGGCUUUACUUUGGGGUUAGAGUUAGGGGUUAGGGGGGUGGGGGUUAGAGGUUAGGGUUAGGGUGGGGGUUAGGGUUAACAACCCAAUAACUUAUUGCUAAUAACGGUUGAUAAUUACAAUACUAUAUUGUUGAUAACGCAAGGAGCGGCUGGCCUCUUUCCUCUUCUAGAGGAAAGGCCCUGGUAGGAGCUGGUCACGUGAUCUGCUAAAAUCUAGCAGAUUUUUACGCAAUCUCGUACCCGGAGCAAUGCCUGUGCGCGGGCUAGGAUGGCAUUGGCUCUGGGGAAAUUGAAUUUUUCCUGUGCUGUGAUUGGUUAACGUUUAUCAAUC
rnacentral:lncRNA from 1 species